UACAGAGGUCUCAAGCGUUGUUCGGAUUCAUUGGGCGUAAAGGGUGCGUAGGCGGCGCGGUAAGUCGGGUGUGAAAUCUCGGAGCUUAACUCCGAAACUGCAUUCGAUACUGCCGUGCUUGAGGACUGGAGAGGAGACUGGAAUUUACGGUGUAGCGGUGAAAUGCGUAGAUAUCGUAAGGAAGAUCAGUGGCGAAGGCGGGUCUCUGGACAGUUCCUGACGUGAGGCACGAAGGUCAGGGAGCAAACGGG
rnacentral:rRNA from 1 species